rnacentral:rRNA from 1 species
CCCUUAGAUGUUCUGGGCUGCACGCGCGCUACACUGGUGCGUUCAGCGAGUUUAGUACCUUAACAGAUAUGUUUGGGUAAUCUUCUGAAAACGCACCGUGAUGGGGAUCGAUUAUUGUAAUUAUUAAUCGUCAACGAGGAAUUCCUAGUAAGUGUGAAUCAUCAGUUCGCGCUGAUUACGUCCCUGCCCUUUGUACACACCGCCCGUCGCUGCUACCGAUUGAGUGGUCCGGUGAAUUAUUCGGACCGGUGGACUGUGGGGAAACCCGCGGCCUGCUGGGAAGUCUUGUGAACCUUAUCACUUAGAGGAAGCAGAAGUCGUAACA